UGAAUCCGUGGGAUAUCGAUCGUAGGCCU
rnacentral:piRNA from 1 species